CCAGUCUCCACUCAUUCAAAAAUCAUUGAAAACUCACUUCUUCAAGAAAGCAUAUCAAUUAUACUGUUAGCAGGUUUUUAUCCCCUACCCCCAUGACUCCUCUCCUGCAACUGUCAAAAAUUACCUACUAAGCCCUCAAUGAAUACUUUUCUAACAACCUACUUCGGACCCCUAAUUUUACCCUUUGUGUCACUAUACCCCACUCCCUCAAGAAUGUAAGCUCAUUGAGCAGGACCCUCCACCUCUCUGUCCCUGUAGUCCAGUUGUCUGGUUAAAAUGACAUGUCUGUUAGUCCACCCAAUGUACAGCGCUACGGAAUGUGAUGGCAC